GAUGAACGCUGGCGGCGUGCCUAAUACAUGCAAGUCGAGCGAACAGAUGAGGAGCUUGCUCCUCUGACGUUAGCGGCGGACGGGUGAGUAACACGUGGAUAACCUACCUAUAAGACUGGGAUAACUUCGGGAAACCGGAGCUAAUACCGGAUAAUAUAUUGAACCGCAUGGUUCAAUAGUGAAAGACGGUUUUGCUGUCACUUAUAGAUGGAUCCGCGCCGCAUUAGCUAGUUGGUAAGGUAACGGCUUACCAAGGCAACGAUGCGUAGCCGACCUGAGAGGGUGAUCGGCCACACUGGAACUGAGACACGGUCCAGACUCCUACGGGAGGCAGCAGUAGGGAAACUUCCGCAAUGGGCGGAAGCCUGACGGAGCAACGCCGCGUGAGUGAUGAAGGUCUUCGGAUCGUAAAACUCUGUUAUUAGGGAAGAACAAAUGUGUAAGUAACUAUGCACGUCUUGACGGUACCUAAUCAGAAAGCCACGGCUAACUACGUG
rnacentral:rRNA from 1 species